rnacentral:rRNA from 1 species
UACGUAGGGUGCGAGCGUUAUUCGGAUUCACUGGGCGUAAAGGGUGCGCAGGCGGCCGUGUGUGUGAGGCGUGAAAGCCCGGGGCUUAACCCCGGAAUUGCACCUCAAACUACAUGGCUAGAGCAUUGGAGAGGGUAGCAGAAUUCACGGUGUAGCAGUGAAAUGCGUAGAUAUCGUGAGGAAUACCAGAGGCGAAGGCGGCUACCUGGACAAUUGCUGACGCUCAGGCACGAAAGCGUGGGGAGCAAAAGGG